rnacentral:rRNA from 1 species
UACGUAGGGUGCGAGCGUUGUCCGGAAUUAUUGGGCGUAAAGGGCUCGUAGGCGGUCUGUCACGUCGGGAGUGAAAACUCAGGGCUUAACCCUGAGCCUGCUUCCGAUACAAGCAGACUAGAGGUAUGCAGGGGAGAACGGAAUUCCUGGUGUAGCGGUGAAAUGCGCAGAUAUCAGGAGGAACACCGGUGGCGAAGGCGGUUCUCUGGGCAUUACCUGACGCUGAGGAGCGAAAGUGUAGGGAGCGAACAGG